UCCGCGGUAGCUCAGUGGUAGAGCAGGUCGCUGUUAACGACUUGGUCGUAGGUUCGAAUCCUACCCGCGGAG
rfam:Parcubacteria bacterium C7867-007 C7867_00011, whole genome shotgun sequence.